UACGUAGGGUCCGAGCGUUGUCCGGAAUUAUUGGGCGUAAAGAGCUCGUAGGCGGUUUGUCGCGUCUGCUGUGAAAUCCCGAGGCUCAACCUCGGGCCUGCAGUGGGUACGGGCAGACUGGAGUGCGGUAGGGGAGAAUGGAAUUCCUGGUGUAGCGGUGGAAUGCGCAGAUAUCAGGAGGAACACCGAUGGCGAAGGCAGUUCUCUGGGCCGUAACUGACGCUGAGGAGCGAAAGCGUGGGGAGCAAACAGG
rnacentral:rRNA from 1 species